GCAGCUGCAUAGGGAUCCGAAUGUGCUUUUCGCCGGCUACAAGCUUCCGCACCCUCUGCAAUACAAGAUCAUAGUCAGGAUACACACCACGAGCCAGUCCUCGCCGACCCAGGCGUACACUCAGGUUGUAGAUGAUCUUGACAAGGAGCUCCUUCAUUUGAAGAAAGCAUUUGAGGAUGAAAAGAACAGACUUGAAGGAAAGCCAUUCUACUAGGCCAGGGCAGCAAUUGCUUGUAUUAUCACGUUCAUGAGUGCCCAUCAUCUGGCGGACGAGCCAAUUAGUAGGCACUAGCGGGUGCUUGUUUAAAUGUCCUUAGAACAGAAAUUAUUAACUGUGUGAAGCUGCUUUGGAUAUACCUUAAACGGAUAGUCUUUCUGACUCUUAUAAAUGAUGAUUACAAGCUUAUAAACUGCAUUAACUUGAUCAUCUGUAGUAAUUUUGAAGGUGGAAUGAUCUGUUCAAAUGGAAGAGUUGCUUAAUUGGUUCUCAUCAAAUUGUUUUUCUCUUGACCUUCCACAAAAUAUGCAUG